rnacentral:sRNA from 1 species
UUUAGCGAACCGACACUGAGACGUAUC